GAUGAACGCUGGCGGCGUGCCUAAUACAUGCAAGUCGAGCGAACAGACGAGGAGCUUGCUUCUCUGACGUUAGCGGCGGACGGGUGAGUAACACAUGGAUAACCUACCUAUAAGACUGGGAUAACUUCGGGAAACCGGAGCUAAUACCGGAUAAUAUAUUGAACCGCAUGGUUCAAUAGUGAAAGACGGUUUUGCUGUCACUUAUAGAUGGAUCCGCGCCGCAUUAGCUAGUUGGUAAGGUAACGGCUUACCAAGGCAACGAUGCGUAGCCGACCUGAGAGGGUGAUCGGCCACACUGGAACUGAGACACGGUCCAGACUCCUACGGGAGGCAGCAGUAGGGAAUCUUCCGCAAUGGGCGAAAGCCUGACGGAGCAACGCCGCGUGAGUGAUGAAGGUCUUCGGAUCGUAAAACUCUGUUAUUAGGGAAGAACAAAUGUGUAAGUAACUAUGCACGUCUUGACGGUACCUAAUCAGAAAGCCACGGCUAACUACGUG
rnacentral:rRNA from 1 species